GCCGGGUAUGGUGGCACAUACGUCUGUAAUUCCAGCGACUUAGAAGGCUGAGGCAGGAGGAUUCCAAGUUCAAGGCUAGCCUCAGCAAUUUAGUGGGGCCCUGAGCAACUUAGUUAGACCCUGUCUCAA
rnacentral:sRNA from 1 species